rnacentral:ribozyme from 1 species
UGCCCAGCAACUCCUAUCCCUACCUCCACGCGGUACCGGCCGGAAACUAUGAGCAACCUUAGGGAAGAUCGGGUAACCAACCCCGCUGGGAACGUUGGUCGUAGGCUGACAGGGAAGG